rnacentral:rRNA from 1 species
UAGGGAAUCUUCCACAAUGGCCGCAAGCCUGAUGGAGCAACACCGCGUGAGUGAAGAAGGGUUUCGGCUCGUAAAACUCUGUUGUUGAAGAAGAACGUGCGUGAGAGUAACUGUUCAUGCAGUGACGGUAUUCAACCAGAAAGUCACGGCUAACUACGUG